rnacentral:piRNA from 1 species
UUAGACCACUAUCAUCAUGGCGGGAAGC